GGUUCGGUAGCUCAGCUGGUUAGAGCGCACGACUCAUAAUCGUGAGGUCGGGAGUUCAAGUCUCCCCCGAACCACCA
rnacentral:tRNA from 11 species